GUAACUAUAUUUGAGCACACAUGAACCAUGUACCUAUAUUUAUCAAACCAUAUUGCUAGAUGUAGUGAGAUAUAUCCAUAUAGUCUUUUUAUUAAAGACUAGUAAAUAUGUUUGUGGGUUGCAACGGGAGAAAGAAAAAUAUCACAUUUCCCUAACUUGAUAAGCACGGCUCAAGAGCCUUAUGCACUUCCACAUCCUCUAUUUUAAUACCGUGUCUCAGCAUGUUGCCACUUAUCCUCCUUCGCCCAGCUUAACCGUGAGUAGUUAUGAUGUUCAAUUCAUCAUAAUGCAUCCGAAUGUCAUCAAUCCCAACAGAAUGAUCUCGGUCACCGUACGACAAACUUGUCGUUGAACCACAUCAACACAAGAGAAUGUUUAAAACUUUUGAAACCAAUCUCGUCGAUUUGCAUGGAUGGACCACCCUCC
rnacentral:lncRNA from 1 species